rnacentral:ncRNA from 1 species
AGCAGCGUCGUGUCGCGGUCCGGGACUGUCCUCAGUCCCGGGUCGUCUCGGCGCGGUUCCGAGCGGUCGCUCCCUCGCGAGGUGCCGCGGGUCAGCGGCUGACGCCAGCCACCUUCCCGACCCGUCUUGAAACACGGACCAAGGAGUCUAACAUGUGCGCGAGCCGCGGGGCAGUACGAAACCCGUAAGGCGAAAUGAAGGUGAACGCCGGCGCGGUCCGGCGGAGGUUGGAUCCCGUCCCGUCGGGGCGGGCGCACUACCGGCCGAUCUUCUCCGCCCUGUCGGCGAGGUCGAGCGAGAGCGUGCAAGUCGGGACCCGAAAGAUGGUGAACUAUGCCUGAGGAGGUUGAAGCCAGAGGAAACUCUGGUGGAGGACCGUAGCGAUUCUGACGUGCAAAUCGAUCGUCAAAUUUGGGUAUAGGGGCGAAAGACUAAUCGAACCGUCUAGUAGCUGGUUCCCUUCGAAGUUUCCCUUUGAUUACGUCCCUGCCCUUUGUACACACCGCCCGUCGCUACUACCGAUUGAAUGGUUUAGUGAGGUCCUCCGAUUGGACCCGGUCCGGGCGGCGACGUCCGAGCCGGCGUCCGAGAAGACGAUCUAACUUGAUCAUUUAGAGGAAGUAAAAGUCGUAACAAGGUUUCCGUAGGUGAACCUGCGGAAGGAUCAUUA